CCGAGUCAUGUACUCAAAUAACCCUUCUGUGGACCUGAAUUAAACCGUUGCCUCGGCGGGGCUGGUCCCUUGCCAAACCCACGUGGUUGGGGCAGGGGUACCAGACAGUCCGGCACGCUUAAGGCGUCCGGCGCCAGCCGCUGGCCCCAAAUAAUUAAACUCUAGUAACCUUUACCUUCUGAGUUUUAAUAUUAAAAAUAAGUCA
rnacentral:misc_RNA from 1 species